AGAGUUUGAUCAUGGCUCAGAGCGAACGCUGGCGGCAGGCUUAACACAUGCAAGUCGAGCGGGCGUAGCAAUACGUCAGCGGCAGACGGGUGAGUAACGCGUGGGAACGUACCUUUUGGUUCGGAACAACCCAGGGAAACUUGGGCUAAUACCGGAUAAGCCCUUACGGGGAAAGAUUUAUCGCCGAAAGAUCGGCCCGCGUCUGAUUAGCUAGUUGGUGAGGUAAUGGCUCACCAAGGCGACGAUCAGUAGUUGGUCUGAGAGGAUGAUCAGCCACAUUGGGACUGAGACACGGCCCAAACUCCUACGGGAGGCAGCAGUGGGGAAUAUUGGACAAUGGGCGCAAGCCUGAUCCAGCCAUGCCGCGUGAGUGAUGAAGGCCCUAGGGUUGUAAAGCUCUUUUGUGCGGGAAGAUAAUGACGGUACCGCAAGAAUAAGCCCCGGCUAACUUCGUGCCAGCAGCGGCGGUAAUAC
rnacentral:rRNA from 1 species